ensembl:lncRNA
GGUCUUGCUAGAUCUUCCCUCCCAUACUCAAUCAUUUUGUACUUUCAGUUGUGGCUACUUUAUGUAUAUAAUGGUAUGCCUGUGUGUAUAUAUCUGGUCUCUUCAUCUUGAGAUAGACCCUCUGAACCAUUUUUUCAUUGCUUUCUUUUACCACUAGGGGGCACACUCCUCUCCAGCUCAUCCACGUACAAUACCGUGUGAAAUAAUGUCUCCCCGCAAAAUGUGCUCUUCUUACCAUGACAGGUUGUUAUGGUGGGGGACAGUGGACCGGCUUUCUGUCACUUUUGUUUUUACAGCGUUUUCAUGGCCAAUCACCUCGCCCAUCUAGACUUGGUUGGUGGUCUGCCAAUCGGAGGCCUACAGCCGUUAUGUACUGAGUGUUGCUUUGACGAAUGGCCACGUUGAGAGGGGGUUCGGGGGUGGGGGUUUGGUAGGUUUUGCCUGUGUUGGUUAAAGGGAGGCAAAAUGUUUUUUAAGAUAGGGCGGAUUAGUACGGUGUGGAGGAUUUGGACACCAGGGCAUCCCGUGUACUGGGCCCUGACAAGGAUCUAAGGAUUUUGAGAGGUAGAGGGCCAUUAUUUCUAUUCAACCAUAUUUUUUAGGGGCCGAUUUUCUGAAGGGCUUGUAUAGAAUCAUGUUUUUAUUAGUUAGAUGGCUAGUAUCCAAAACACACAGAGGAAAAAGGGAAGGGGAGACGUGAGUUCAGACUGGUCUGAAACCUCAGCCUUGUGAAUGAAUGUCUAAGUGUCCUGGGGUGGGGAUGGGGGAGGUCGGGAGAUGGGUACGCUGGGGUUGUCUCACCAACACUCCUUGAACAAAACAGCUGUGACACCGUGGUUGGAAUGGGGGAGGGCAUAAAGGAGUAUGGGGAGGGGGGGGCACAGACAUGUACAACCUUUUGUGAUGUUCAAAAUAAACAUGGUUAUGACCAUGCACGAUGACGGGGAUACUGAUGAAAUGUUGAAAUGAUUUGACGGUGAUGAGAUACUGUAUGAAUGACGACAACAACAAAAACAUGUUUCACACGAUCUGUCUAGAAAAAUACUGAAGAUUUAAAAAAAAAAUGCAAAUAAACAUUUGAAAACAGAGAGAAGCAUUUAUGUUUGAGUAUUUCCACUGAUCUAUGUGUUGAUCUUGGUCUGAAUGUUUUGUGGUAUGAAAGGGUUCGCUUCAAUACAUAAUUUCAGUUUACAUUGAGUCACUGUUGUGUUUCAGGAACAUUGAGUUGCUGUCGGAGCGUGACAAAGUCCACCUUUAAUCCUUCCUCAAACAUCUCUAUGUCCCUGAAACAGGCUCAGGGACAUAGAUGUUUGAGGAAGGAUUAAAUGUGGACUUUGUCAAGCUCUGACGACAACUCACUGAUCCUGAAAACCAAACUGUGACGAGAUUGUUUUGUGUCAAUCUGAAUCCUCUGAUACCUGACCUGCUGAGUGUGUAUGUGGGCAUGCGUCCAUGUGUAUGUCUGUAUAGUGAACGGUCUUCCCUAGUCAAUUCUGGACCUUUCAGUCUCUAGUUGUGUCCGUUAAGUGGACAGUUCUCUGGCUGUGGUAUUAGACUGUGGGUAAACAGAGGUCUCUGUGGUAUUAGACUGUGGGUAAACAGAGGUCUCUGUGGUAUUAGACUGUGGGUAAACAGAGGUCUCUGUGGUAUUAGACUGUGGGUAAACGGAGGUCUCUGUGGUAUUAGACUGUGGGUAAACAGAGG